rnacentral:rRNA from 1 species
UACGGAGGGAGCUAGCGUUGUUCGGAAUCACUGGGCGUAAAGCGCACGUAGGCGGACUCUUAAGUCGGUGGUGAAAUCCUGGAGCUCAACUCCAGAACUGCCUUCGAUACUGAGAGUCUCGAGUCCGAGAGAGGUGAGUGGAACUGCGAGUGUAGAGGUGAAAUUCGUAGAUAUUCGCAAGAACACCAGUGGCGAAGGCGGCUCACUGGCUCGGUACUGACGCUGAGGUGCGAAAGCGUGGGGAGCAAACAGG